GACGAACGCUGGCGGCGUGCUUAACACAUGCAAGUCGAACGGAAAGGCCCUGCUUUUGUGGGGUGCUCGAGUGGCGAAGGGGUGAGUAACACGUGAGUAACCUGCCCUUGACUUUGGGAUAAAUUCAGGAAACUGGGGCUAACACCGGAUAGGAGCUCCUGCUGCAUGUGGGGGGUUGGAGAGUUUCGGCGGGUGGGGCUGGAGGCGCGGCUUCUCAGCUUGUUGGUGGGGGAGGGGCUUGCCACGGCUUGGACGGGUAGCCGGCCUGAGAGGGUGACCGGCCACAGAGGGACUGGGGUACGGGCCAGAGGCCUACGUGAGGCAGCAGUGGGGAAUAGUGCACAAUGGGCGGAAUGCUGAUGCAGCAACUCCGCGUGCGGGAUGACGGCCUUCGGGUUGUAAACAGCUUUCGCCUGUGACGAAGCGUGAGUGACGGUAAUGGGUAAAGAAGCACCGGCUAACUACGUG
rnacentral:rRNA from 1 species